UUGGAAGAGCAAAGUACACCUGGAAACUGCUGUAUCGCUGAGACUGGAGCGAGCGUCAGCCUGAAAGCAAAUUAUAAAAUGCCUGAAAGAAGAAAGCAGAGAAUUGGAAUUGUCGGCUAUGGACAUGUAGGCACUUACCUCGUGCGCCAGAUCCAGAAAGAAGGUGGGAAGUAUCACCUGGAGUUGGCGUUUAUCUGGAAUAGGACUGUGGGGAAGAUGGAAGGGGCAGUGGAACCUCAUCUCCAACUUCAUGACCUUUCUGACUUUAG